UACGUAGGGGGCAAGCGUUGUCCGGAAUUAUUGGGCGUAAAGAGCUCGUAGGCGGUCUGUCGCGUCUGCUGUGAAAUCCCGGGGCUCAACUCCGGGCUUGCAGUGGAUACGGGCAGACUAGAGUUCGGUAGGGGAGACUGGAAUUCCUGGUGUAGCGGUGAAAUGCGCAGAUAUCAGGAGGAACACCGGUGGCGAAGGCGGGUCUCUGGGCCGAUACUGACGCUGAGGAGCGAAAGCGUGGGGAGCGAACAGG
rnacentral:rRNA from 1 species